GACAGAGGGUGCAAACGUUGUUCGGAAUUACUGGGCGUAAAGCGCGUGUAGGCUGCCUUGCAAGUCGGGUGUGAAAGCCCUGGGCUCAACCUAGGAACGUCGAUCGAUACUGCUGUUCUUGAGGAUUGCAGAGGAGACUGGAAUUCCCGGUGUAGCGGUGAAAUGUGUAGAGAUCGGGAGGAACACCGGUGGCGAAGGUGGGUCCCUGGGCAAUUCCUGACGCUGAGGCGCGAAAGCGUGGGGAGCAAACGGG
rnacentral:rRNA from 1 species